rnacentral:rRNA from 1 species
GAUUGAACGCUGGCGGCAUGCUUUACACAUGCAAGUCGAACGGCAGCGCGGGCUUCGGCCUGGCGGCGAGUGGCGAACGGGUGAGUAAUGCAUCGGAACGUGCCCAGUAGUGGGGGAUAGCCCGGCGAAGGCCGGAUUAAUACCGCAUACGACCUGAGGGUGAAAGCGGGGGACCGAAAGGCCUCGCGCUAUUGGAGCGGCCGAUGUCGGAUUAGCUAGUUGGUGGGGUAAAGGCUUACCAAGGCGACGAUCCGUAGCUGGUCUGAGAGGACGACCAGCCACACUGGGACUGAGACACGGCCCAGACUCCUACGGGAGGCAGCAGUGGGGAAUUUUGGACAAUGGGGGCAACCCUGAUCCAGCCAUGCCGCGUGCGGGAAGAAGGCCUUCGGGUUGUAAACCGCUUUUGUUCGGGAAGAAAUCCUCUGGGCUAAUACCCCGGGGGGAUGACGGUACCGGAAGAAUAAGCACCGGCUAACUACGUG